rnacentral:rRNA from 1 species
GACAGAGGGUGCAAGCGUUGUUCGGAAUUACUGGGCGUAAAGGGCGCGUAGGCGGCCGUGUAUGUCUGAUGUGAAAUCCCUCAGCUUAACUGGGGAACUGCAUUGGAAACUGCAUGGCUAGAGUGUGAGAGAGGAAAGCAGAAUUCCUGGUGUAGAGGUGAAAUUCGUAGAUACCAGGAGGAAUACCUGAGGCGAAGGCGGCUUUCUGGAUCACUACUGACGCUGAGGUGCGAAAGCGUGGGGAGCAAACAGG